GCCUACAACAUAACUAUAAUGUAGUGAAUCCCAUUAGAACUUCGUAGUUAAGCACAAAUAGGAUAGAGGAGUACUGGGAUGAAGGACCACUCGAGAAGUCUUACUAUUUUACAUGCC
rnacentral:rRNA from 1 species